AUUGAACGAACUACGGAAGUCGAGUAUAUCGCGACUGCUCUGCGACAACGGGGACAACAUUCAGCACAUGCAAAGAUCAGGAUUUGAACAAAUCUCUGCAGUGAAUCCGCUCAGAAGAUGCAGCAAGCUGCCGCAGGUAGACCUUUCUCUCUGGAAGGACUAUAGUUCAAAGAAUCAUGAUCACACAUAUCGUGUAUCACCGCUAUAUAAAAAGAGAUGAGCAAACGAGCCUCUCUUUCGUCAAGCUACUAAGACACCAGAGAAAUAAAAUUCAUGCUUUGGAUAUAUAUAUAGGAAUAAAAAUCAAAUUUGACUCAAACAAA